rnacentral:rRNA from 1 species
GAUGAACGCUGGCGGCGUGCCUAAUACAUGCAAGUCGAGCGAACAGACGAGGAGCUUGCUCCUCUGACGUUAGCGGCGGACGGGUGAGUAACACGUGGAUAACCUACCUAUAAGACUGGGAUAACUUCGGGAAACCGGAGCUAAUACCGGAUAAUAUAUUGAACCGCAUGGUUCAAUAGUGAAGGACGGUUUUGCUGUCACUUAUAGAUGGAUCCGCGCCGCAUUAGCUAGUUGGUAAGGUAACGGCUUACCAAGGCGACGAUGCGUAGCCGACCUGAGAGGGUGAUCGGCCACACUGGAACUGGGACACGGUCCAGACUCCUACGGGAGGCAGCAGUAGGGAAUCUUCCGCAAUGGGCGAAAGCCUGACGGAGCAACGCCGCGUGAGUGAUGAAGGUCUUCGGAUCGUAAAACUCUGUUAUUAGGGAAGAACAAAUGUGUAAGUAACUAUGCACGUCUUGACGGUACCUAAUCAGAAAGCCACGGCUAACUACGUG